rnacentral:rRNA from 1 species
AAACCAACAGGGAUUGCCUCAGUAACGGCGAGUGAAGCGGCAAAAGCUCAAAUUUGAAAUCUAACACUUUCAGUGUUCGAGUUGUAAUUUGAAGAAAGUUUCUCUGAGUAGUCCUUUAUCUAUGUUCCUUGGAACAGGACGUCAUAGAGGGUGAGAAUCCCGUAUGAUUUUGGAUACUAUUCUUUGUGAGAUUCUUUCGAAGAGUCGAGUUGUUUGGGAAUGCAGCUCUAAGUGGGUGGUAAAUUCCAUCUAAAGCUAAAUAUUGGCGAGAGACCGAUAGCGAACAAGUACAGUGAUGGAAAGAUGAAAAGAACUCUGAAGAGAGAGUGAAAAAGUACGUGAAAUUGCUGAAAGGGAAGGGCUUUAGGUCAGACUUGGUGUUUAAAUGAUUAUCUUCUCUUUUUGAGUUGUGCACUCGUUUUUCACUGGGCCAAUAUCAGUUUUUGUGGUAGAGCACCUAUUGGAAUGUAGCUUUUCUUCGGAUGAGUGUUAUAGCCUUUAGACGAUCUU